rnacentral:rRNA from 1 species
UACGGAGGGUCCGAGCGUUAUCCGGAAUUAUUGGGUUUAAAGGGUCCGCAGGCGGGCAAUUAAGUCAGGGGUGAAAUGGUGCGGCUCAACCGUAGCACUGCCCUUGAUACUGGUUGUCUUGAGUCAUAGUGAAGUGGCCGGAAUAUGUAGUGUAGCGGUGAAAUGCAUAGAUAUUACAUAGAACACCGAUUGCGAAGGCAGGUCACUAACUAUCGACUGACGCUGAUGGACGAAAGCGUGGGGAGCGAACGGGAUUAGAUACCCCCGUA